rnacentral:SRP_RNA from 1 species
GGCUCAAGCCCCGCGACGCCGGUUCGCUAACCAGGUCAGGUCCGAGAGGAAGCAGCCUCCCGCGGUCUCCGGCGGGCGCGGUGUCGUUUGAGCUGGA